GACGAACGCUGGCGGCGUGCCUAAUACAUGCAAGUCGAGCGGACGGAUGGGAGCUUGCUCCCAGACCGUCAGCGGCGGACGGGUGAGUAACACGUGGGCAACCUGCCUGUAAGACUGGGAUAACUCCGGGAAACCGGGGCUAAUACCGGAUAACUCUUUCCCUCACAUGAGGGAAAGCUGAAAGAUGGCAUCUCGCUAUCACUUACAGAUGGGCCCGCGGCGCAUUAGCUAGUUGGUGAGGUAACGGCUCACCAAGGCGACGAUGCGUAGCCGACCUGAGAGGGUGAUCGGCCACACUGGGACUGAGACACGGCCCAGACUCCUACGGGAGGCAGCAGUAGGGAAUCUUCCGCAAUGGGCGAAAGUCUGACGGAGCAACGCCGCGUGAGUGAUGAAGGUUUUCGGAUCGUAAAACUCUGUUGUCAGGGAAGAACAAGUACCGGAGUAACUGCCGGUACCUUGACGGUACCGGAACAGAAAGCCACGGCUAACUACGUG
rnacentral:rRNA from 1 species